rnacentral:rRNA from 1 species
CCCUUAGAUGUCCUGGGCCGCACGCGCGUUACACUGAUGCAUUCAACGAGCUUAUAACCUUGGCCGAGAGGCCUGGGCAAUCUUGUUAACGUGCAUCGUGAUAGGGAUAGAUUAUUGAAAUUAUUAAUCUUGAACGAGGAAUUCCUAGUAAACGCAGAUCAUCAAUCUGCAUUGAUUACGUCCCUGCCCUUUGUACACACCGCCCGUCGCACCUACCGAUUGAAUGGUUUAGUGAGAUCUCUGGAUUGACGCUGGCUAGGGGGCGACCCUUGGCCAGACUGUUGAGAAACUGCUCAAACUUGAUCAUUUAGAGGAAGUAAAAGUCGUAACA